AAAAGCUGUUUUUUUUGUUAGGUCAAUGGGGUUGGAAGUACGCUUUACCAUCGCGACCAGGAAAAUGAUAAGGAAAAGAAGUCUAAAAAGUGUAAUAGCGAAAUAAUCUUAAUUUCAGAUCAACUGGAUGGAAGUUUCUUAGACAUUGAAUAUAAAGAAGGCAAAUUGAAGAUUUCAAUACAUAUACAUAUUAUAAAAUGAAGAGUAUUAAAGCCAAACGGGAAAUUUCAAAUGAAAAAAAAAAAGAACAGCAAGAUAGUUUUAUUAAACUUUACCAGAAUUAUAGAUAUUAUUUUGAGCUAUUAAUUAACAUGUAUUUGAUUUUAAUGUAGAAUCAAUAAACGUCAAUAAUUAAUGAUU